GAUGAACGCUAGCGGCAGGCUUAAUACAUGCAAGUCGAGGGGGAUUAGUUUUGUAGCAAUACAAGAUUAUGAGACCGGCAAACGGGUGAGGAACACGUACGCAACCUUCCCAGAACUGGUGGAAUAGCCCUCCGAAAGGAGGAUUAAUACACCGUAACAUAAUGAAUGGGCAUCCAUUUAUUAUUAUAGUCCCGACGGUUCUGGAUGGGCGUGCGCCUGAUUAUGGUAGUUGGCGGGGUAACGGCCCACCAAGCCUACGAUCAGUAACUGGUGUGAGAGCACGACCAGUCACACGGGCACUGAGACACGGGCCCGAUCCUACGGGAGGCAGCAGUAAGGAUAUUGGUCAAUGGACGAAAGUCUGAACCAGCCAUGCCGCGUGAGGGAUGAAGGUCCUCUGGAUUGUAAACUUCUUUUUAA
rnacentral:rRNA from 1 species